AACCCAUGAUGAGGACACUCCCUGUAGUAAUCCUUAAACCUCUCCCAAGCUUCAUGGAAUGACUCUGUGACUCCCUGUUGGAAGCUACUGAUCUUAUUCCUUAGAAU
rfam:Arabidopsis thaliana chromosome 1, complete sequence.